rnacentral:rRNA from 1 species
CCUACGGGUGGCAGCAGUGAGGAAUAUUGGUCAAUGGACGAGAGUCUGAACCAGCCAAGUAGCGUGAAGGAUGACUGCCCUAUCGGUUGUAAACUUCUUUUAUAUGGGAAUAAAAUGUUCCACGUGUGGGAUUUUGUAUGUACCAUAUGAAUAAGGAUCGGCUAACUCCGUGCCAGCAGCCGCGGUAAUACGGAGGAUCCGAGCGUUAUCCGGAUUUAUUGGGUUUAAAGGGAGCGUAGGUGGAUUGUUAAGUCAGUUGUGAAAGUUUGCGGCUCAACCGUAAAAUUGCAGUUGAAACUGGCAGUCUUGAGUACAGUAGAGGUGGGCGGAAUUCGUGGUGUAGCGGUGAAAUGCUUAGAUAUCACGAAGAACUCCGAUUGCGAAGGCAGUUCACUGGACUGCAACUGACACUGAGGCUCGAAAGUGUGGGUAUCAAACAGGAUUAGAUACCCUAGUAGUC